AUUGAACGCUGGCGGCAGGCCUAACACAUGCAAGUCGAGCGAACCUAGCUUGCUAGGUGAGCGGCGAACGGGUGAGUAACGCGUAGGAAUCUGCCUGGUAGUGGGGGACAACGUCUCGAAAGGGACGCUAAUACCGCAUACGCCCUACGGGGGAAAGGGGGGAGUCUUCGGACCUCUCGCUAUCAGAUGAGCCUGCGUCGGAUUAGCUAGUUGGUGAGGUAAAGGCUCACCAAGGCGACGAUCCGUAGCUGGUCUGAGAGGAUGAUCAGC
rnacentral:rRNA from 1 species